UAAUACAUGCAAGUCGAACGAAGCUUUCUUUCACCGAAUGCUUGCAUUCACCGAAAGAAGCUUAGUGGCGAACGGGUGAGUAACACGUAGGCAACCUGCCCAAAAGAGGGGGAUAACACUUGGAAACAGGUGCUAAUACCGCAUAACCAUGAACACCGCAUGAUGUUCAUGUAAAAGACGGCUUUUGCUGUCGCUUUUGGAUGGGCCUGCGGCGUAUUAACUUGUUGGUGGGGUAACGGCCUACCAAGGUGAUGAUACGUAGCCGAACUGAGAGGUUGAUCGGCCACAUUGGGACUGAGACACGGCCCAAACUCCUACGGGAGGCAGCAGUAGGGAAUCUUCCACAAUGGACGAAAGUCUGAUGGAGCAACGCCGCGUGAAUGAAGAAGGCCUUCGGGUCGUAAAAUUCUGUUGUCAGAGAAGAACGUGCGUGAGAGUAACUGUUCACGUAUUGACGGUAUCUGACCAGAAAGCCACGGCUAACUACGUGCCAGCAGCCGCGGUAAUACGUAGGUGGCGAGCGUUGUCCGGAUUUAUUGGGCGUAAAGGGAACGCAGGCGGUCUUUUAAGUUUGAUGUGAAAGCCUUCGGCUUAUCCGAAGUAGUGCAUUGGAAACUGGAAGACUUGAGUGCAGAAGAGGAGAGUGGAACUCCAUGUGUAGCGGUGAAAUGCGUAGAUAUAUGGAAGAACACCAGUGGCGAAAGCGGCUCUCUGGUCUGUAACUGACGCUGAGGUUCGAAAGCGUGGGUAGCAAACAGGAUUAGAUACCCCGGUAGUCCACGCCGUAAACGAUGAGUGCUAAGUGUUGGAGGGUUUCCGCCCUUCAGUGCUGCAG
rnacentral:rRNA from 1 species